rnacentral:rRNA from 1 species
UACGUAGGGGGCAAGCGUUGUCCGGAAUUAUUGGGCGUAAAGCGCGCGCAGGCGGUCCUUUAAGUCUGGUGUUUAAGCCCGGGGCUCAACCCCGGUUCGCAUCGGAAACUGGAAGACUUGAGUGCAGGAGAGGAAAGUGGAAUUCCACGUGUAGCGGUGAAAUGCGUAGAGAUGUGGAGGAACACCAGUGGCGAAGGCGACUUUCUGGACUGUAACUGACGCUGAGGCGCGAAGGCGUGGGGAGCGAACGGG